rnacentral:rRNA from 1 species
UCAAAUUUGAAAUCUGGCUCCUUCGGGGCCCGAGUUGUAAUUUGGAGAGGAUGUUUCGGGCACGGUCCGGGCUUAAAUUUCUUGGAACAGAAUGUCACGGAGGGUGAGAAUCCCGUCUGGAGCUCGGACACGACCCAUGUGAAACUCCUUCGACGAGUCGAGUUGUUUGGGAAUGCAGCUCUAAAUGGGUGGUAAAUUUCAUCUAAAGCUAAAUAUUGGCCAGAGACCGAUAGCGCACAAGUAGAGUGAUCGAAAGAUGAAAAGCACUUUGAAAAGAGAGUUAAACAGUACGUGAAAUUGUUGAAAGGGAAGCGCUGGCAACCAGACUUGCGCGUCGGGGUUCCCCCUUGCUUCUGCCUGGGUUACUCCCCGGCGUUCAGGCCAACAUCGGUUUCGGGGGUCGGUUAAAGGCCCUGGGAAUGUACCUACCCUCCGGGGUAGACUUAUAGCCCAGGGUGUCAUGCGGCCUCCCGGGACCGAGGAACGCGCUUCGGCUCGGAUGUUGGCGUAAUGGUUGUCAGCGACCCGUCUUGAAACACGGACCAAGGAGUCUAACAUCUAUGCGAGUGUUAGGGUGUCAAACCCUUACGCGGAAUGAAAGUGAACGGAGGUAGGAAGCCUUACGGCUGCACUAUCGACCGAUCCUGAAGUUUACGGAUGGAUUUGAGUAAGAGCAUAGCUGUUGGGACCCGAAAGAUGGUGAA